rnacentral:rRNA from 1 species
AGUGAACGCUGGCGGUAGGCCUAACACAUGCAAGUCGAACGGCAGCACAGUAAGAGCUUGCUCUUACGGGUGGCGAGUGGCGGACGGGUGAGGAAUACAUCGGAAUCUACUUUUUCGUGGGGGAUAACGUAGGGAAACUUACGCUAAUACCGCAUACGACCUACGGUUGAAAGCAGGGGAUCUUCGGACCUUGCGCGAUUGAAUGAGCCGAUGUCGGAUUAGCUAGUUGGCGGGGUAAAGGCCCACCAAGGCGACGAUCCGUAGCUGGUCUGAGAGGAUGAUCAGCCACACUGGAAUUGAGACACGGUCCAGACUCCUACGGGAGGCAGCAGUGGGGAAUAUUGGACAAUGGGCGCAAGCCUGAUCCAGCCAUACCGCGUGGGUGAAGAAGGCCUUCGGGUUGUAAAGCCCUUUUGUUGGGAAAGAAAAGCAGCAGGUUAAUACCCCGCUGUUCUGACGGUACCCAAAGAAUAAGCACCGGCUAACUUCGUG